UAAUCUCAGCUGGCAACUGUGAGAUAUUCAUACAAUCCCUCACAGUGGUCUCUGGGGUUAUG
ensembl:miRNA ocu-mir-216a ocu-mir-216a